GGGAAGGUGGGGAGUGACGUCAAGUCAGCAUGGCCUUUAUAUCCUGGGCUACACACACGCUACAAUGGGAAGGGACAAUAGGUUGCGAAGCCGCGAGGCGGAGCCAAUCCAGCAAAACUUCCCUCAGUUCAGAUUGCAGGCUGCAACUCGCCUGCAUGAAGUUGGAGUUGCUAGUAAACGCAGGUCAGCCAUACUGCGUUGAAUACGUUCCCGGGGCCUU
rnacentral:rRNA from 1 species